rnacentral:rRNA from 1 species
UACAGAGGGUGCGAGCGUUAAUCGGAAUUACUGGGCGUAAAGCGUGCGUAGACGGUUAUUUAAGUCGGGUGUGAAAGCCCCGGGCUCAACCUGGGAAUUGCAUUCGAGACUGAAUAGCUAGGGUACGGUAGAGGGAAGUGGAAUUUCCGGUGUAGCGGUGAAAUGCGUAGAUAUCGGAAGGAACGUCAGUGGCGAAAGCGACUUCCUGGACCAGUACCGACGUUCAGGCACGAAAGCGUGGGGAGCAAACAGG